GACGUAGGGUGCGAGCGUUGUCCGGAUUUAUUGGGCGUAAAGAGCUCGUAGGCGGCUCGUCGCGUCGACCGUGAAAACCCGCGGCUUAACUGCGGGCUUGCGGUUGAUACGGGCGGGCUAGAGUUCGGUAGGGGAGACUGGAAUUCCUGGUGUAGCGGUGAAAUGCGCAGAUAUCAGGAGGAACACCGGUGGCGAAAGCGGCUCACUGGACCGUAACUGACGCUGAGGUGCGAAAGCUAGGGGAGCAAACGGG
rnacentral:rRNA from 1 species